rnacentral:rRNA from 1 species
UACGUAGGGUGCGAGCGUUGUCCGGAAUUAUUGGGCGUAAAGAGCUCGUAGGCGGUCUGUCGCGUCGGUCGUGAAAACUUGGGGCUUAACCUCCGGCCUGCAGUGGGUACGGGCAAGCUAGAGUGCGGUAGGGGAGAUUGGAAUUCCUGGUGUAGCGGUGGAAUGCGCAGAUAUCAGGAGGAACACCGAUGGCGAAGGCAGAUCUCUGGGCCGAUACUGACGCUGAGGAGCGAAAGCGUGGGGAGCAAACAGG